UGAAAUGACUUGAGAGGUGU
rnacentral:snRNA from 1 species